CCAGACCCUUUGAAGCAGCUGCUGCCAGACAACCAGCUAUCUGAGACACCUUUCCAUGCAAACACAGGAUCAGAGAUUUCUAAAACAACAGGAUUACUUUCGAGUCUCAGCAACUUCAAGACUAAGAGGAUCACCACUGGCAACAAAGCAGAUCCUCCUGGAAUACAGCAACUCAGGCAUUUUGGAAUACUGCAUCAAAAAGCUGAUUAUUCCUUGGGAACCUCUCCAACAUCAUCUUUUGCCAUAUGACAUGGACAUCUAUCUCCAUGUUAUUUUUCCAUUUCCAAGGAUCACAAGUGCUUUUCACUGAUACAAAUGUAAAUAGAAUAUUUUGGUGUGCUUUGACAUGCUAUACUAAUCCACAAAUAAAUAAGCAGUCGCAACAAA